rnacentral:misc_RNA from 1 species
GUGCAUUGCUGGCUUUAAGCCGUCUAUUUGUUGGUUUUCCUUUAUAGGGGACUUUUGUGUCUGCUCAGAAAAACCAAACUCAGUUUUUUCUCAAUUCCUUCGAUUGCACUGAUCGACACAAGUCUCCUUCUCAAUUUUUCUUCUUCCUUCUUCUCUAGACUACCCACCAAGGAAGAAAACAUAACCCAGAAGUUAAAGAGUUCAAAGCACGAGAAAAUUCAACGACCCAAGUGAACUUAGCCCUUCUUUUUCAUCAAUAUACACUUUCGAUUGGAUGGAUCUGUAGAUCUAAUCCUUCUAUACUAUACCUACAUGUAUUUAUCUGUUUCCUUUAGAUCUCCGUCCUUUUCAUCUGCUGUAAUUCAG